UCCACCUCUCCUUCUCCUCUUGAUUUCCUCUAGAGAAGGGUCAGGGAUAAGAGGGCACGGAAGCGAGAUGCCAUCACCCGCCGCCGCGGCAUCAUCAAUCGCCGUGGGUCUUCUUCCUCGGUGUGACAGACAGACAGAGGGAGGAGGAGGAGGUAUCCUUGGUAUGUCGGAGUACGAAAGCAUCUGUUCUUUGUUCUCUUGGGACACUUUCUCCUCUCUCUUCAUUUUCUUUCUUAUUUUUCUAAUUAACAUAGUUCUAUUAUUUUCCUCGCACAACUAAUGAGGGGUACAGUUGAUUUAGAUCCAUGUCUAUACUAACUCUGACUCACAUCAUGAAUAUGGAAGAAUUUCUAUAUACUACCUGAGUUUUUAAUUAAUCCUAAAGGUUAUUGUGAAAUUAUUAUUAUUUAUUUA